GGCACCGUCGAUGUUGGCUUAGGGAAUCUAUAUGGCGCAGAAGUCAUAUAAAGAUGGUUUGUUCAACCAAUAAUACCCUACRUGAGCUGAGUUCAGACCGGCGUAAGCCAGGUUAGUUUCUAUCCUCAAUAAACACAUCUAUUUAUAGUACGAAAGGACCUAAAUAAGAAUAAUAAUUAUACACCUAGAAUAAAUAUAAAACAUAUUAAACAAAUCACCACAUUCACUAUG
rnacentral:rRNA from 1 species